UCCGAGUUGACCCCGGCAGUCUCCUGCGAGUCCCCGCCAUUACGCGCUGGCAACACAGGACACAAGGGUUGCGCUCGUUGCGGGACUUAACCCAACAACUCACGACACGAGCUGACGACAGCCAUGCAGCACCUGUGCAUGCUUCCCUUGCGGGCUCGUCCCCCUUUCAGGGUUCUACUACAUGCAUGUCAAGGCCAGGUAAGGUUCUUCGCGUUGCAUCGAAUUAAGCCACAUACUCCACCGCUUGUGCAGGCCCCCGUCAAUUUCUUUGAGUUUUAAUCUUGCGACCGUACUUCCCAGGCGGCACGUUUAUCGCGUUAGCUGCGUUACUAAAGGAGUUCAUCCUCCAACAACUAGUUGCCAUCGUUUAGGGCGUGGACUAC
rnacentral:misc_RNA from 1 species